UACGUAGGGUGCGAGCGUUGUCCGGAAUUACUGGGCGUAAAGAGCUCGUAGGUGGUUUGUCGCGUUGUUCGUGAAAACCUGAGGCUUAACCUUGGGCGUGCGGGCGAUACGGGCAGACUGGAGUACUGCAGGGGAGACUGGAAUUCCUGGUGUAGCGGUGGAAUGCGCAGAUAUCAGGAGGAACACCGGUGGCGAAGGCGGGUCUCUGGGCAGUAACUGACGCUGAGGAGCGAAAGCCAGGGGAGCAAACGGG
rnacentral:rRNA from 1 species